rnacentral:rRNA from 1 species
UACGUAGGGUGCAAGCGUUAAUCGGAAUUACUGGGCGUAAAGCGUGCGCAGGCGGUGAUGUAAGACAGUUGUGAAAUCCCCGGGCUCAACCUGGGAACUGCAUCUGUGACUGCAUCGCUGGAGUGCGGCAGAGGGGGAUGGAAUUCCGCGUGUAGCAGUGAAAUGCGUAGAUAUGCGGAGGAACACCGAUGGCGAAGGCAAUCCCUGGGCCUGCACUGACGCUCCAUGCACGAAAGCGUGGGGAGCAAACAGG